CCAGCGAGAGAGCGAGCGGGCGGGCGGGCGGGCGGGCGCGGCCGCAGCAGGUGAGCGGCGCCCGGCGCCCGCUGAUUGGCCGCUCCCGGGCGCAAAGGCACAGCACAGCAGUGAAAGAGGACUGGUGAGAGCGUUUCCAGGUGCUGGUGUUUCCCCUGACAAGCUACUGGCCUAUUUGGGCUCUCUGGAGACUGCAUCCCUACGAAUCUGGUUGCUGUGAUUAUUUUAGCACCCGCCGCAGAUCUCCCUGGGGGACAGAGGAGUUGUGCCAGCAGAUGUGGCUCGUGCGCUCUGCUCGCGCUGGGCCCGGCAGGCAGGCUGGGUGCAGGCUGGAGGGGCUCCAAGGGGGGUGCGAAGCCAUGGCGCUUGGUCCCUGCCCCAGCCCCCCGGGGAAGGGGGGAUCCACCCAGGAAGUUUUGCUGAGGGUGACUCGGAAACCUGGGCCAACGUGUGAGGGAGAGGAAGAGAAAUUUGGUGUUCAGGAGUGCGUUUCUCCCUGCUAGUGGAGUUCCAGAGCAGUUUGCAGUUUCCCUGCAGUCCCGUAGGGUGAAGGGUGCUGGACAAACACUCAGGUCCUGUAACACCAUCAGUAGAUGUGCUAAUGAUGCGUGUGGGAUGCAGUGGCAGUUGUUAAUGCUGGACUGUUAAAUGAGACACUUGGACUGAGGUCUUUGAGCUUCUGGCAGCCAAGCGCCAUGGGAGUGACAGAUCCAAAGUACCAAACUGUUACCUGUCAGGCUGCACCCGUGUCGUACUGACAGUUCCAGCACUGGCCUCUUUCCUUGUGCUGACUGGGAGGAGAUGGUGGCUCUUGGCAGACACAGUCCAGCAACACCUCUCCAGUGGGCAGGGGACACACCCUGCACGUCUGCAAAACGCAGCCAUCCGUGUGGUCCUGCUCGGGGAUGGCUGAGACUGACGAGUGCAUUUCUCUUGCAUCCCUCAUGGGAGAGGCAGCGGGAAAGCAAGCACAUACUCUUCACUCCCCUUUUUGUCUGGAUGACCUCAGAUGGGUCGUGCUCACCAGCAUGGUGAGGUGAGACUCCACCCAGCUCAGCUCCCACCGAAGCUCCUGAGCUCCCUUGUAAGCUCAGAACAUCUUUCUCAUUGGGUUAUGACGUAGCUAAACUGAAAAGGAGAAACCCAAAAAGGGCCAAGCACCUGAAACUCCCACUAGUGCUUGGGGUGACACGAGCUACCAGGCCUCUGUGGGAAGAAACCGUGGCCACCACUGUGCUGGUAAUCAUACUCCUGCCAGGAAAAAAUAGCAAUGGAUCAGGUCAUCUGGGACACGAGCGCAGCAGCUCUGUGCCAAGGGCCAAAUGUAGGUUAUGUGCACAGCCUGGGCGUGCUCUCCUGCCCGAGUGCCGUCUUCUGCAGGUGUUGGCAUAACUCCCCCUCUCUGGAUUUGUUUCUAUUUACAUGAAGCUCUGAAGGGCCCAUGGGGCUGGUAAGGAGCAGGAAUUAACUUUUCCUUAAAUGUCAUAGCAAAACCCUGGUGGUGAAGUGGAACAAGUCAACCCUGAAGAUUUGCUUUUUACCCAUCCAAAAUCAAAAGAUGUGGCGCUUUUUUUUUUUUUUUUUUUUUUUUUUUAAAUAUAUACUUACAUAAUUUGUCCUCAUUUUGGUUCUUAAUAGCUAGCACAGCUCAGCUGGCUAGCUGGCUGCAAUUAGGCCGUGUAAUAUUACUUGUGUCUCUUUUUGAGAAAUGACUGGUUUGUCUUAGCCCACAAGCCUUAUUUUAGAUAAUGAAAAGCCCCAUUUUUAAGUGCAAAUGUGAUUUUAAAGCUAGUUAUUCUUGUCCAUGAACAUGACGAGACCUUAAAGCAGAAUCUUUGAGGUGCCGAAGGAGACCCGUUAAAAUUACCAGGCAUUUAUCAGAGCCUCAGUAAGGACGUGUUUGAGCACGACAGGUUUUGUUCUUCUCCACAUGCUGUUCAGACAAACCCAGCCAGGCUGAACCACCACGUGCCCUACACCCACCACUGCUCAAGGGCUGAACCCGCCAGUUCUGAAAGCUCCCAUUUUGAGGAAGGUGUUCAAAACAGAAACCAGGGUUGAGCAGCCACCGCACCUUUGCAACACUGAAAGUAAGGGCUUGGGCCACGUUUUCUCGCUCUCUUUGCUCGUCUUGGAGUGCUGGUCUGUCAUUGCUUAAGUGCAGAAGCUGUCCUGAAAGAAAACUCUGCCGCUCAAAUACAAGACCCUAAGAAGCUUGCUGCUAAUGCAGCACCACAGAAGUUUGUCAGUGCCCUGCCCCAGGCACCACCUCUGGGGAGCUGGAGCCCCACGAUGAGCUGCACCAGGGACCCGAAACCUGACCCGGCUGCCUGCGGGGGGAGGAAGCGCCUCCAGCCCUCUCCGGUCCGUCAGUCCCACUCAGGCCAGUGCACGGGUGCUUCAACAAAGUUCUGCAUCUUGAACUGUGAAUUAUGGCUGCAUUGUGAGUAAACAUGGAAUGACUCGCCCACCCACCCACCCACCUACCCAUUUGUUUAGACCCUGUUUAACACUACCUCAUGCCUCUAAGUGGACUGUGCGGGGCUUUUAAAAAUUUGAGAAGAUGGCUCCUUUUCACUUGAAGCCUUCAUUUGCAUGCCAAGUGAAGAUUUGAGAAGCAAAAGGGGUUUUUGUUUUCAGAAAAAAAAAAUCGUAACUGCACGGGACUUAAGAAGAAACAAAACCUAGCUUUUGUGGAAAUUAUGAAAAACAUGGAAGCUGGCUAAUAUGAACCCGGGGGGAGUGGAAAAAGCUGAACCGAGCUAUUACCGAGCAGUGUGUGGCUUAAAGAUGCUGUAGUGAGCUCUGGUGUGGGUAGUACUGAGAGCUUAUGUUCUAACACUGUUUAGUGUAGUUUAUGCUUUUCACAUUAUACCGCUUCCCUGCAUUUAUACUUAAGCUUGUGUCCUGGGUUGAGUGAGUGGUGGAGUUUUUUGGUGGCAGGGGAGGGGGCUAUUGGGGCAGCCCCCU